GCGGGUAUAGCUCAGUGGCAGAGCACGUGCUUAGGACGCACGAGGUCAUGGGUCCUAUCCCCAGUGCCUCCA
rnacentral:tRNA from 1 species